rnacentral:rRNA from 1 species
UACGUAGGCAGCGAGCGUUGUUCGGAGUUACUGGGCGUAAAGGGUGCGUAGGCGGCCCGUUAAGUCAGUGGUGAAAGCCUCCAGCUCAACUGGAGAACUGCCAUUGAUACUGACGGGCUUGAGUACAGACGAGGUUGGCGGAAUUGAUUGUGUAGCGGUGAAAUGCAUAGAUACAAUCAAGAACUCCGAUUGCGUAGGCAGCUAACUAGGCUGUAACUGACGCUGAGGCACGAAAGCGUGGGGAGCGAACAGG